AUUGAACGCUGGCGGCAGGCCUAACACAUGCAAGUCGAACGGCAGCACAGAAGAGCUUGCUCUUUGGGUGGCGAGUGGCGGACGGGUGAGUAACACGUAGGAAUCUACCCAGUAGUGGGGGAUAACCUGGGGAAACCCAGGCUAAUACCGCAUACGCCCUGAGGGGGAAAGCGGGGGAUCUUCGGACCUCGCGCUAUUGGAUGAGCCUGCGUCGGAUUAGCUAGUUGGUGGGGUAAGGGCCCACCAAGGCGACGAUCCGUAGCUGGUCUGAGAGGAUGACCAGUCACACCGGAACUGAGACACGGUCCGGACUCCUACGGGAGGCAGCAGUGGGGAAUAUUGGACAAUGGGCGGCAAGCCUGAUCCAGCCAUGCCGCGUGGGUGAAGAAGGACCUCGUGUAGUACGUUACG
rnacentral:rRNA from 1 species